CAAGUUUUUUAUUUACGUACGUCAUAGAUACCGGAAUCGUUGGAUCUACUUCGAGUGCGUCAGUAGUGAUGUUUGAUUGAUACUCAUCACCCCGCGAUUUAAUAAUCUCGGUCUCACUGCUUAAAGACGAAAGGUAAAAAACAGAGAAAAUAGCUCCAUCUGUUUCUGUAAAGUGACCAUGGGAAUGAUCGAUUGUCCACAUUUUCGGAACUUUGAUUUGGACAUUCCAAGCAUUGACAGUUCUGGAUUUAUGAACUCAGCAAUCCAUUGAGUCGGAAAACUUUCAGUAUUCUUAUUAGAAUUUAUACUCUGGAACACAAUUGUACAUUCGAAGUUCCAAGAUGUGGUUACAAUAUUCGGGCCUUGCUGAUAAGAGUAAUUUAUCUGAGUGAAUGGUAGGCCAGUUACCAAUCUUAGUACUAUAGUACUUAGUACACUUAGUACAAGCUAACCAAAGUUUAAGCAAAGAUUAGUGCUGCUAUUAAUUUUUAUU